rnacentral:lncRNA from 1 species
AGAAUUUUUCCUAGAACUGCAAUGAUUUGUGACUGCAUGAAAUUAGCUCUGCACAUGCUGGUGUUAACUCUAUUGGAUCAUUCUUUCUAUUUCGGUUCGUUUUGCUCUCUCUUUGCAUGAUUCUGCAUCCAAUUACCACCCAUUUGUUUCUAACGACUCUAAUCUUCUUCAUUGUAUUUAACUUGAUUGCUAACAUCUCCAUUUGACUGCAACAGGACUCGCUGUGAGGAUGCUCCACCACCUUUUUGCGAGGGCUCAAGUCAGCUUAUAAUUUUUUUGACGUUGCUUCCACAUGGUAGCUGCUUAACAGCAUCAACAUUUCCAUCUCCAAUCAACAACUGAGUCUUCAGAGCACACAACUCCCUAGUUCGGCAUAUGCCUUCGUGCUUUUUGUUAGCAGAGAAAAUGCUUACUCAAACUAACACUCUUUUCAUGUAAAUUUUGGAACUGCAAUCUGUUCGUUUCCAUAAAACUAACGUUUCGCUUGCCAUUCCACCGGUUUUAUAUUUGAUCUUCGUUGCUUUGUUUUCCCUUGACAAUUCCUCUCCGAAAACAAACUCGGUUAACAAGUGAAAAGACUGCUCGCAGCAACUUGCCUAGUAGCUGUUCUAAUAAUUGUGAUCAUUAGGGUAAGCUAUAGCAAUAUUCUAGUUUGAGCUGCAAAUGAAUGA